rnacentral:rRNA from 1 species
UACGAAGGGGGCUAGCGUUGUUCGGAAUUACUGGGCGUAAAGGGUGCGUAGGCGGGUUUUUAAGUCAGGGGUGAAAUCCUGGAGCUCAACUCCAGAACUGCCUUUGAUACUGAAGAUCUUGAGUCCGGAGAGGUGAGUGGAACUCCGAGUGUAGAGGUGAAAUUCGUAGAUAUUGGGAAGAACACCGGUGGCGAAGGCGGCGACCUGGUCCUUUUACUGACGCUGAGGCGCGAAAGCGUGGGGAGCAA